UCUGGUUUAGCAUGGUUUGUGCCUAAGCCA
rnacentral:piRNA from 1 species